rnacentral:lncRNA from 10 species
AGUGGUCUUUGAGCAGACUAUGACUCAUACUCAUUCACCAGGCUUAGCUGGACAUUUUUUAUCUUUUUCCAAAAAUUAUAUCUGGGGCACAAAUGUGUCACAUUUGCAGGUAUUCAAAAGACUGUGCCUGAGGCCCCAUGGAAAGCUGGGUGGAGGAAGAGCUCCCAAAUCCAACAUGUUCUUGUUGAACCUAUGCAAACAACUAUAUUGCCAUAAAAAUAAGAAUACUCAAAGUUUCCAGAAUUCUGGAGGAAUCAAGUAGGAAGUAAAGGAGAAAUGUCUCAACGUUAUUUACAAAGGUAUAAUUUACCAGACUGCUGUAAG